GAUGAACGCUGGCGGCGUGCCUAAUACAUGCAAGUCGAGCGAACAGACGAGGAGCUUGCUCCUCUGACGUUAGCGGCGGACGGGUGAGUAACACGUGGAUAACCUACCUAUAAGACUGGGAUAACUUCGGGAAACCGGAGCUAAUACCGGAUAAUAUAUUGAACCGCAUGGUUCAAUAGUGAAAGACGGUUUUGCUGUCACUUAUAGAUGGAUCCGCGCCGCAUUAGCUAGUUGGUAAGGUAACGGCUACCAAGGCGACGAUGCGUAGCCGACCUGAGAGGGUGAUCGGCCACACUGGAACUGAGACACGGUCCAGACUCCUACGGGAGGCAGCAGUAGGGAAUCUUCCGCAAUGGGCGAAAGCCUGACGGAGCAACGCCGCGUGAGUGAUGAAGGUCUUCGGAUCGUAAAACUCUGUUAUUAGGGAAGAACAAAUGUGUAAGUAACUAUGCACGUCUUGACGGUACCUAAUCAGAAAGCCACGGCUAACUACGUG
rnacentral:rRNA from 1 species